CCUACGGGGGGCAGCAGUCGGGAAAAUUUUGCAAUGCGCGAAAGCGUGACAGAGCAAGCCAGAGUGCGUUUCUUUUUAGAAACGCUUUUGUGGCAUGUAAACAGUGCCACGAAUAAGGACCGGGAGAGACUGGUGCCAGCCGCCGCGGUAAUCCCAGCGGUCCAAGUCGCAGCCACAUUUGUUGGGUCUAAAACAUCCGUAGCUUGCUUGGUAAGUUUUGUGUGAAAUCGGGACUCUCAAGGUUCCGGCGGGCACAAAAUACUGCUAAGCUUGAGACCGGGAGAUGCACUGAGUAUGUACAGGGAAGCGGUAAAAUGUGUUGAUCCUGUACAGACUAACAACAGCGAAGGCACGGUGCAAGAACGGUUCUGACAGUGAGGGAUGAAGGCUAGGGGCGCAAAGUGGAUUAGAUACCCCAGUAGUC
rnacentral:rRNA from 1 species